rnacentral:rRNA from 1 species
UGAGACACGGUCCAAACUCCUACGGGAGGCAGCAGUGAGGAAUAUUGGUCAAUGGACGAGAGUCUGAACCAGCCAAGUAGCGUGAAGGAUGAAGGUCCUACGGAUUGUAAACUUCUUUUAUAAGGGAAUAAACCCUCCCACGUGUGGGAGCUUGUAUGUACCUUAUGAAUAAGCAUCGGCUAACUCCGUGCCAGCAGCCGCGGUAAUACGGAGGAUGCGAGCGUUAUCCGGAUUUAUUGGGUUUAAAGGGAGCGCAGACGGGUCGUUAAGUCAGCUGUGAAAGUUUGGGGCUCAACCUUAAAAUUGCAGUUGAUACUGGCGUCCUUGAGUGCGGUUGAGGUGUGCGGAAUUCGUGGUGUAGCGGUGAAAUGCUUAGAUAUCACGAAGAACUCCGAUUGCGAAGGCAGCACACUAAUCCGUAACUGACGUUCAUGCUCGAAAGUGUGGGUAUCAAACAGGAUUAGAUACCCUGGUAGUCCACACGGUAAACGAUGGAUACUCGCUGUUGGCGAUAUACUGUCAGCGGCUUAGCGAAAGCGUUAAGUAUCCCACCUGGGGAGUACGCCGGCAACGGUGCAACUCAAAG